UGGGGAAUUUUGGACAAUGGGCGCAAGCCUGAUCCAGCCAUUCCGCGUGCAGGACGAAGGCCUUCGGGUUGUAAACUGCUUUUGUACGGAGCGAAAAGCCUUGGGUUAAUACCUCGAGGUCAUGACGGUACCGUAAGAAUAAGCACCGGCUAACUACGUGCCAGCAGCCGCGGUAAUACGUAGGGUGCAAGCGUUAAUCGGAAUUACUGGGCGUAAAGCGUGCGCAGGCGGUUAUGUAAGACAGAGGUGAAAUCCCCGGGCUCAACCUGGGAACUGCCUUUGUGACUGCAUAGCUCGAGUGCGGCAGAGGGGGAUGGAAUUCCGCGUGUAGCAGUGAAAUGCGUAGAUAUGCGGAGGAACACCGAUGGCGAAGGCAAUCCCCUGGGCCUGCACUGACGCU
rnacentral:rRNA from 1 species